CCUACGGGAGGCAGCAGUGAGGAAUAUUUGUCAAUGGGCGCGAGCCUGAACCAGCCAAGUAGCGUGAAGGAUGACUGCCCUACGGGUUGUAAACCUCUUUUAUAAAGGAAUAAAGUUCGGCACGUGUCCCUUUUUGUAUGUACCUUAUGAAUAAGGAUCGGCUAACUCCGUGCCAGCAGCCGCGGUAAUACGGAGGAUCCGAGCGUUAUCCGGAUUUAUUGGGUUUAAAGGGAGCGUAGAUGGCUUGUUAAGUCAGUUGUGAAAGUUUGCGGCUCAACCGUACAAUUGCAGUUGAUACUGGCAGUCUUGAGUAUAUUUGAGGUAGGCGGAAUUCGUGGUGUAGCGGUGAAAUGCUUAGAUAUCACGAAGAACUCCGAUUGCGAAGGCAGCUUACUAAGC
rnacentral:rRNA from 1 species